GCUGGGUGUGGUGGCUCACGCCUGUAAUCCCAGCACUUUGGGAGGCCGAGGCGGGUGGAUCACCUGAGGUCAGGAGUUCGAGACCAGCCUGACCAACAUGGAGAAACCCUGUCUCUA
rfam:Homo sapiens chromosome 1, GRCh38 reference primary assembly.